UCCUACGGGAGGCAGCAGUGAGGAAUAUUGGUCAAUGGACGGAAGUCUGAACCAGCCAUGCCGCGUGCAGGAAGACGGCUCUAUGAGUUGUAAACUGCUUUUGUACAAGGGUAAACCUGAAUACGUGUAUUCAGCUGAAAGUACUGUACGAAUAAGGAUCGGCUAACUCCGUGCCAGCAGCCGCGGUAAUACGGAGGAUGCGAGCGUUAUCCGGAUUUAUUGGGUUUAAAGGGUGCGCAGGCGGCGUGUCAAGUCAGCGGUAAAAUGUCGGGGCUCAACCCCGGCCGGCCGUUGAAACUGGCGUG
rnacentral:rRNA from 1 species